CGGGUUCUGCGCCUCUCGUAUACCAUAGGUACAAAUCCAGUGGCCUUAAGCAAAUCCGAGGGAGCUGGCUCUGUUCUGACCCUGGUCUGAUUACCUGGCGCCCACCUGUACAUACAGGUCCUCGGGAUUAGUUACCUCUACGGUUGCCGUGGUUCCCGU
rnacentral:ncRNA from 2 species